rnacentral:ncRNA from 1 species
UAGUGUUGUAAGAGUUCCCUCCUGAAAAGGAUGAUGCUGCCUAUUGGCAGGCGUGACGAAGUAGGGUGGGGUUCACUA